GCCCCGCCCAGCCGGCCCUCUCGCCCCGCUUCGCGCAUGCGCAAAACGCCGGCGGGGAAGGGGGCGUCUUCGUCCCGGCGCUCUGGCGUCCAUGGGCCGGCCAGGACCGCGUCUGGCGGUGGGAAGCUGGGAACUGGAGCCUCGGGUGAAGAUGGAGAAAAGAGCGAGCUGUACCAGGGUAAGCAUGGAGUAGACAAGAGAGUUGGAUUUCAUCAGGCUUUGUGACUUUGCAAGGAUCAGUUUAUCCUGAAAUACGUUACAGAGGAGAAAUGGAAGGAUUUUUUGAAAAACACACUGAAGAUCUACCCUGGAACCAAUCAACUGAGGCCGGAGAAGGCAGAAUCCUGGAAGACCAUGGCCAUGUAGCUGGGAUGGGACAGCACUUGAGGAAGAAGGGGCAGCAGACAAAGUCUCUAGAAAGCCACUAAACAACAACAAAAAAAUCCAAUGUAUUGAGCCAGGGUGCUCAAAGGUAAAUCAUCAGAAGUAAUCAUUUGCAAGGGAACAUAGUGGGUUCGACUUGGACUAGUUUAGUUUGUGCUGGCCACUUAUGUAGGUGGACAUAUCCACCAGAGAAGUGGGGAUGAGAGGCCUAUGCACCCAGAUAGAGGCAAAGUUUGUAAAUCUAGGAGUCACAUCAGAGCAGUGGUAAUUGAAGCAAAGAGAGUGGAUGUUUGUUGAAGAAGAAAGUAUGGAAAGUGCUCUAAAAAAUGCAAGUAAGAAUGGGAAUGCUUAGUAGAGGAGCUGGGGAAAGGAACUGGGAAAUACUGCUGUAUUUGGAGAGCAGAAAAAGGAAUAGGCAGUAAUAACAGAAGCAGAGAAGCAGCCACCAGGAACUUUUCCCGGAAAAGGAGGAAAAAGGAGAUCCAAAGACAAGAACACUGCAAGAUGAAGUGAUGACAACAUCAUCCUAUACCAGAGGAGGGCCAAAAAAUCUAACCACUGACAUCUACUGUUCAGCACAGUGUGGGAAGGAAUAUCCAGACUAAUAAUGGUGUAGGGAAUAGGGAGGGCGGUGGGUCUGAAUGUAGCUUGCAGGUGUAGAUGAGUCUUUGAAAAGGUUCAGUGGUGAAGGUAAGGAGUGAAAUGGGAUGGAAAAAAGCAUUUUAUAAUAAAGGUGCCUAAAGUCUGCUAUAGGCCCAGAGGAGAGAGCCUGGUAGCUCCUUACCUAUUUGGAACCUGGCUCUCCAGCAACCUCCACUAUCUGGAAUACAGUGAAGAACCAAGAAGCAAAAAUAGUUUGAACAACUUACAUCAGUGUCAUUAUACUUGUUCAAUUGAGUCUAUGGGUUGUACUUAAAAGAAAAUUGAUUCAUUUGCAAAAUUGAAUUAAUCUUACUCUUCUCUAGAUCAGAGAUGAAGAAAUGUUUCUCCCUAGCUCUGGUCUCACAACGGACAUUAGGAGGCUAUAAAGUGGAAACAGAUGUAGCAUAUUUCAACAUGGCUCUCCUUGACCCAGAAUCCCCGGGAUAGAAGAGGUGGGAAAGGAACAAGAAGAAAAAACUGACACUGUCCAUACAAGGUAGGGUUUUUCCACCCAGAAACGUAAUUCUGACUACAAUCCUGUCCUUUUAUAAUAGGUGUUGAAUUACCAUUCUGGAACACACUAACCCCAUUUGUCAUUACAUUUAAUGAAAGGCUUAUAAAUAACCAGAAUUUCCUGUUUCCUGAACCAAAUGCAGCACCAGUAGGACACAUCAGUGUUCAGUCAUGCCCAGGUGACCCCAGAGGAUCACUCUGCUUCCAGUCCUCUAGUAUCCCAGAAAGUACAUUUCCCCUCUGUGCCAGAGGUUCUCAGAUGCCCCUGUGUCCUUCCUCCAUCCUGCUCUGUGCCCUGGGAGGCAGACCAGCAUGAACUGCAUCAAAGGGAUCUAUCUUGUCUUCUGGAUUCCAGUUGGGUUUGGCCAUUUGGAAGAACUGGAAAGACCCUGGGGUAUAUAAGGUAAAUGAGGUCAAGAAUUUAUUCUCACAUCUCCCUCCCAGCAAGGUCUUUGUAAGUUAGCUGCAGCCUCCCGCCCAGACCAUAGCUCCUGGCAGCACUUAGGUCUAGGUUCCAGUAACUUCUCCCUCUCCUUGAGACCCACAGGUACUAACUCCAGGGUAUGGUAGGGUGUGGCUUCUUAAGCCCUACUCAGACUUAUGAAAAUAGAGUAUUAAACUCUCUUCAAAUCACCCAAGUUUGAGGUGCUAUUUAUUUCUUGCAGGACUUGACUACUAACACCAUCCCCAUGGAGAUAGUAUUCAGCUCCCAUGCUGAAUACUACCAAUUGGUAUCAAUUCUUACCAAUUGAUAGGAGCUACUUGGAUGGAGCAUCUUUUGUGAAAGAUUCUGAGGCCACAUCCAGGGUUUUAAUGAUUCAUGGUUAGUGAUGGGGAAGAAUAGCUCUCAUGCUAGGUACUGGCAGUCCUUGUUCUGGAUUUUCAUAGUUAUAAUCACCUCAUACCCAAACUCUCAGCAGAUUUAAAAGCAAACAAAGAGAGAUUUGUUACAAGUAGAUACACUGAGAACAGGAUAAAGGGAUGGUUGACAGACUAGCAGAAGAAGGAGACUGAGAGGAAAACUCAAAAGUAGACAAACAAACAUACAAGCAAACAAAACCACACAUGCACACAGUAGUAGAGUGCAGGCCAAUCUAGAGUUUAAUCUACCCGGUCAAUGAUGCUUUUGAGCAAUCAUAGAAAAGGCUAAAUAUAUUUGGCAUACUUUCUUUGAAAAAGACAAAAAGUAGGGGCUCCUGGGUGGCUUAGUCAGUGAAGUGUCCAACCCUUAGUUUCGGCUCAGGUCAUGAUCUCAUGGUUUGUGAGGGCUCUGUGCUGUCAGUGAGGAGCCUGCUUGGGAUUCUCUCUCUCUCCCUCUUUCUCUGGCCUUCUCCCACUUCUACUCUCUGUUUCCCUCUAAAUACAUAAAUAAACAUAAAUUUUUUUUUAAAAAAAGAAAAAGACAAAAAGCAUAUCAUACACUUGAUAAAGAUUUCUAUUCCGAAGACCUAAACUGUUUAGGUGAUCUGAAAAGCUAUUUUAUACUUUGCUGGCUGAUUUGUACUCCUUGUCAGUUCAUCAUUAUCUAGAGAGAGUUCAUGAAAGAUCAAUUACCCAUUUAUUCCCCACAGUUGCCAUUGCCAAAACUCCUAAAAUUCCUGUCAUCACAAUAGACAAUGACAGCUGAUGACUCCAGGCCUCCUAGGGAUCAAUAGACCAUGAUGCCAAACUAGUGCCAGGGAGGCAAUGACCUGUCUGUUCUUCCCCCGCAGUACUUGGAUCCCUUGCUCACUCUGCACCUCCCAGAUCUUAUUGCUACCAUUCCCUUUUUCAUCCCGUUGAAAUGUAUUGCCUGGGCCAGACUCCCCGUUUUAGGUAGUGUGAUGCUGAUAAUUUCUUCAGGGUUAAUAAAAGACAAGUGAGCCUUCCUCUGAUCUGAGAGAACAGAGAUCCCGCUUCACAUCAACCUUCUGGAGCUAUAUGGCAGCCACUGUUGAGGCUAUGUUGUGCAAGAAACAGCUAACCAGUUAUUAUGCAGCUUCUGUGAACAAACCGCUGUGCUAAUCUUUGUAGGAAGAGGCAAAAUUGCAUGAGAACUUGGGGUUCAUUUGACAAGCUUCCAGUCUGGUGAAGAAGGCAAACAUGGGCACUACUAACUACAACUAAAGAAAAAACUUAGCCAAGGCUCCACCAUGCAAACCUGAACAUGCUAGAAAGCCCAGUGUACUCUGACCUGGACCUCUCUGAGAACUGCAAGACUAUAGGAGCUCUGAGAACUGGUGCUCCCUGCCAUGACAGGGCCAAUGUGAUAUCAGCUGGAAAGAAGAACUCACAAUCUACCUUGUGAGCCAACCAGAGUGUGAACUCAGGCUUCAUUGGUGAAUUUCCUCCUCUGUCUUAUGUCAAAAGGUAAAGACUAAGUUUAGUUAUAAGAAAUUUAAAAUGUUACUUUUCCUCCUCUGUGCCUCCUCCUACCUUUUGUCCUAAAUUCCUGUUCAAGUUACUUCUUGAGUGACAUGGCUCUUUCUCUCCUGGCAAAGGAAUGCACUCAGUUUUGUCUUGUAUUGUGUUUUGUCCACUUCUCCUGGUCUUUGUAUUUUGAUGUGACACUAGAAACAUGCCAAUAAAGAGAGUGGGUGCUGUAGAGAAGCAGCAGCUGAUCUGGACAGUGAAGGAUGAGAAGAGCUUCAACAGGGAAAGAAGAGAAGUAAGGGUCUUCUAGGUAUAACAGGGCCAAUGCUUCAUAGCAUAACCUCUGGUAUGAAGGAAAUGUAACAUUUUAAAUUUCUUAUAACUAAACUUAGUCUUUACCUUUUGACAUAUAAAUUACUUUGAGCUAGAGGCGCCUGGAUGGCUCAGUCGGUUGAGUGUCUGACUCUUGAUUUCAGCUCAGGUCAUGAUCCCAGGGUCCUGGGAUCGAGCCCAGCAUUGGGCUCUGCACUGAGUAUGAAGCCUGCUUGAGACUCUGUCUCUCUCUCCCUCUGCCCCUCUCCCCUGCUCAUUUUCUCUCUCUCUCUAAAAUAAAAUUUUAAAAAUUAAACAGAAAGAAUUAUUUUGAGCUUAACUAUCAUAAGUGUCCCCAGAGGCAAUUCUAAUCUCUUCCCAGAGAGAAGCUGAAAAGUUGACACCACACCCAAAUAUUGUCACAAACUGUCAUACCUCCCAUCUGUUCUCCUAAGGGUCCUUUUAUCUUCCAAAAAAGACAUCUGUGUUUCUGUAAAUGCCUUCUGCCUUCCCUUCUAGGAAGUCAUUUGUUCUCCCAGAAGUGCCCCCUGCCCCUCCUCAUAGUAACAUGGUAUAUAAGCUCAAAUCUUACCACUCCUUUGGAUAUUCACUCCCAAAGGAAGUCCCCUGCACUUAAAAUUAAUAAAUUUAUAUUUUUUUCUUUUGUUAAAUCUGUUUGUUGUCAGUUUAAUUCAUAGAACCCCCAGCUAUGAAACCUAAAAGGGUAUAAAAAAAAGUUUUUCCUCCCCUACAUGUGUCACCUGAGGUCUCAAAACAUAAUCUAGUUGACUCCAGUAAAUUCAAUCAUUUCAGUAAGUUUCUUAGUUAUUUCAAAUUUACACUUGGUCAGUCAUUCAAAAAUUUUCCCCAACCCCUCAGUUCUUCCAAAGUGACAUCUGUUUGGGGGAGUGUCUUAGUUAGAUUCCCUACAAGCAGAGCCUGAAGCAGAGAUUCUUCUGGAAGUGACUGAGGGAGUGCUCAUAGAAGAAAGUUGUAAAGGGCAUCUGGCAGGCUCAGUCAGAGCAUGUGACUCUUGAUCUCAGGGUUGUGAGUUUAAGUCCUGCAUUGGGCAAGGAGCCUACUUAAAAAAAAAAAAGAAGAAGAAGAAGAAGAAGAAGAAGAAGAAAGUUGUAAGGAGGUGAAAUUAAGCAGGAUACCUCAGGAAGAAGCUAAGUACAAUGAGAUUUCUGCUGAAAUCUAGCCUUGGGUUGCCAGUGAGCCCUGGACUGUGAAUGACACCAUAAAGUUGACACCCCUGAGGCAAGAGAGACAGUUUUUUGUACCCAUGUCAGUCAGCCACUGAUUUGCUGGUUGGGAUGGGGUGGAGGUGACCUCCCAGAUAGUUUUGGUAGUUCCUUAAUGAGGACAAUUCUCUGGAGAGGGGUGGCUCCAAAGGGUGAGCUAUUAUCAGCCAACACUCACAACAGCUGAGGAUGGUGUACUGGUCAAAUAAAGAGGAUUGGAUAAGACCAACAGUGUCUACUAGCAGAAGCUUCUAAGGUAUCCUGGCAUUAGGCCAGUGUUCUAGAUAGUGGGUCUACCACUCAAUCAUCUAGCAGUCUCCAUUUAUCAGCAGUUACUGACACUUGUGCCACACAGAUGUGCUAUUCCAUUUGGUUUUCAGGUGGCCAUCAUCAACUGAGACAUAACUGAUCAACUGACACCUCAUCUGAUCCCCAGAUGCAGCCAGGGUAGCAUGUUUGCAUCCUACCCUGAAAGCCAUGCAGCCCGUUUUCUCUCUCUCUCUCUCUCUCUCUCUCUCUCUUUUUCUCUUUCUUUCUCUCUCAACCCUUUCCUUCCUCCCAGGGCCUGGAAAGCACUGACUAUGCAUUGUACCUUGCUAGGGAAUAAGGUGUGUAUGGCUCUUCUGAGGCUUACUGCCAUCCCAGAGAUACAUCUUGGGACAUACCCCAGUCUUGGUAUUUUGAAAACUUUUUGGUAGAUUCUUUUCAAUUGUCCCCAGGGGUUUCAAUCCCAUAAGGAAGUAUAACAAGCCCCUUUUCUGACCCUUAUGCCAGCCAUUUCCUCUGAGUCACUUUCAUCUCCUCUGCUGGAGCAAUGCUUUUCUAGUCUGUGGCCUGGGUGGUUCUUCAUCUACUUUUUCUACAAGAUAUUGUUUCUGUUAAACUUCAUUUAGGGGAUUCUUCUUACUGAUACUUAAAACUAGCUUUUUUGGAACUAAAAAAAUGUUCUCUCUUUUAAAAAGCCCUGAUUUUGUCUUUUCUUUCUUAACUAUUGUUCCAGCUCUGGGUUUCACAAUGUAUUCUUGAAACAUAAAAGCUGAACAAUAAUUGUUUCUUUGUUUUUGCAUUCCUGCUUUAAUAAUUCUAAUCCUCCCUGAGGCAGUGGAUGCCUCCAACCAAAGAAUAGACCCUCUGAAACAAAGAAGUUUUCAGAAGAGAGGGUGUAACGCUGCCAUGGCCAUAAGAGGCACAGAAAACUGUAGGUCCCAUCUUGGAGAUACUUGAAGGAUAGCAAGUUUGCUAAAGAGGGGGCAGUGUGCCAGAAAGGCAAAUGGAAAAUGAAUGUGGAAAGAAAUCAAGAUGAGAGUUUUUAGAAGUUUCAGUUUUGUGCUCAGUAGGGGAAAUCCCUAGAUCACUUCACUUCGCCUAAGGCUGCGCUUAGGAGGGCAUGUCCAGACUUGCAGAAUCUGGAUCCUGGAGAAGAGAAUAAGAUGGAAAAGAAUAGGAAGAGAAUCCACUUUAAAGUUGUUCAAGAUAUUUAAACUAAGUAGCAAUGAAUAUUUGGCCUAGGUCCCAAAUGCCUACUACUAGAAUUUAAAAGAUAUGAGAAUUUAGUUCAAAAUAUAUGUGACAGUUAAAUAAAAAGAGUAAUAUGGAACGAGUAAAGGGAAAAAUAUUACUUUUCUUCAUUCUAAGAAAUAUAGAUGAAAAAGUAUUGUUAUUUUGGUUUAAGAACUAGAAUUAAUGGCAUGGUUGAAAAUGGGCUUUGUACUUUAAAUAAAAAGUACAACUCCAGAAACUCACCAGUGUAAACUGAAGCUUAGACACAUAAUCCUUCUUAGCUUCAAAUAUUUGGGUCAAAGAAAUUUGUCAGAGUAAAAAUUUUCUCUACCCUUCAAGAUUCUUCUAGCUGGUCUAAGAAUUAAACUGACUUGUGACAGAUUAACAGGAGGAAAAGACCAAAGUUUAAUUACGUGCUCGUGGAGGCCUAAUAAUGAAAUUGAGAUCUAAAGAAAUGACCAAGGGCAGGCAGUUUUUAUACUUUCUGGACAAAGAAACAGUAAGUGAGGAAUUAAGAGGACAAAGGAAACAUGUUUGGGAGCUCCACUUAAUAAAGAAUUCUAAACAGAAUUUGGGCUGAGGUAGUAAAUGAGUAAAAGUAACAAGGUUUGUUUAUACAGCCUUUUUAGCUCCAAAUUCCCUAUCUCUGGUGAAAAGGAUGUCUCUUUACCUCCUGGUAUAAGGGGGAGUACCUUUCAUAUGGGAUAUUUAUUUUCUGCUUUUUGGAGACAAAAGGGGAUCAGAAUGUUCCCCCAUGUACUGGCUGUUUCUUAAGUAACUUUUACUUCAAAAUAAUCAAUAUGCCAAAGCGGCACAUUUUAAGGCAGCCUGUCCUUGGCUCCUAUAGAAACAUUUGCAAGUUUUUUAAAGCAUUUUUCCCUGUUUAUAAAUAAAUACUAAGUUUGUCUUUUACUUUUUUGGGCUUUAAUUGAUAAUUCAUUAUCAAUCAGACAGCUCUGUAUUGGUUUAGAGUUGAUAAUCAUAUUGUUAAUAUUUGCUGAGUGCUUAUUAUAUGCACUUCAUAUGGAAUAACUCGAUCCUCACAAGAAACUGCUGAGAUGGAUACUAUAGUAUGCCUGUUUCACAGCUGAGGAAAGUGAGGAAAAAUUAACAAAACAAAUACUAUGUACAGGUACUACAUUCUUUGUAUAUAAUAUUUCAUUUUCUCCUUUAAAAAUAGCUACGAGAUACUAUUAUAUUCCCCAUUUUAUAGAAAAGGAAAUGGAGACUCAGGUGAAUUUGUUUUGAGGCGAUGCGAUUAGUAAGUGAAGGAAGAAGGAUUUUAAUCAAGUCUACCUGUUAAACCAAAUUCCUGGCUCAUAUAGUGUUGAAAAGCUAGAAAUAAUAAUAACAACCCUUACUAGACAACUCUUAUCACCUAUAAAUUUCCUAAGCAUCUUCCCACAGUUUACCACUGUUAGGAACCCAAACCCUCUUUUCCUUUGUCUAUUCACUUCUUCACAAUUUAUUGCCCUUUGUUAAAAUGAUACAUAAACCCCCAGGUCUAACUGCCUCUUUGGAUUUUCCUCUCCUUUCUAUGGAACCACUUUGCACCUAAAAAUAUUAACAUAAGUGAAGAAACAUAUGAUUUAUCUCCUGUUAAUCUGUCUUCUGUCAGUUUAGUUUGCAGGCCUCCAGUGAACCUAAGAGGGUAGAGUAAAAGUUUUUUUCUCCCCUGCACUUGUCAGCAUUGUGUUACUUGUACAUCUUGUUUUGGUAAUAAAAAAAAUAAUAGAAGAAGUAAUAAGAGAAAAGGCAUUAAAUGUGGAAGUAGGAGUAUUAGAAUAUAUACAUAUACACACACAUAUA